AGUCGUGCGAGAAAGUAUCUUCGGAUACGAGUACAGCGGCGGACGGGUGAGUAACGCGUAGGAAUCUACCUAGUAGAAGGGGAUAGCCCGGGGGAAACCCGGAUUAAUACCGUAUACCUCCUUCGGGAGAAAGAAGGCCUCUCUUUGAAGCUCUCGCUACUAGAUGAGCCUGCGUAAGAUUAGCUUGUUGGUGAGGUAAAGGCUCACCAAGGCAACGAUCUUUAGCUGGUCUGAGAGGACGAUCAGCCACAUUGGGACUGAGACACGGCCCAGACUCCUACGGGAGGCAGCAGUGGGGAAUAUUGGACAAUGGGCGCAAGCCUGAUCCAGCCAUACCGCGUGUGUGAAGAAGGCCUUCGGGUUGUAAAGCACUUUAAGCAGGGAGAAAAAGUUAUAAGCUAAUACCUUAUAACCUUGAUGUUACCUGCAGAAUAAGCACCGGCUAAUUCCGUGCCAGCAGCCGCGGUAAUACGGAAGGUGCAAGCGUUAAUCGGAAUUACUGGGCGUAAAGCGCGCGUAGGUGGUUUGUUAAGUUGGAUGUGAAAGCCCUGGGCUCAACCUAGGAACUGCAUCCAAAACUAACUCACUAGAGUACGAUAGAGGGAGGUAGAAUUCAUAGUGUAGCGGUGGAAUGCGUAGAUAUUAUGAAGAAUACCAGUGGCGAAGGCGGCCUCCUGGAUCUGUACUGACACUGAGGUGCGAAAGCGUGGGUAGCGAACAGGAUUAGAUACCCUGGUAGUCCACGCCGUAAACGAUGACAACUAGCUGUUAGGAGACUAUGUCUUUUAGUGGCGCAGCUAACGUUUUAAGUUGUCCGCUGGGGAGU
rnacentral:rRNA from 1 species